AUACGUAGGGUGCGAGCGUUGUCCGGAAUUACUGGGCGUAAAGAGCUCGUAGGUGGUUUGUCGCGUCGUCUGUGAAAUUCCGGGGCUUAACUCCGGGCGUGCAGGCGAUACGGGCAUAACUUGAGUACUGUAGGGGAGACUGGAAUUCCUGGUGUAGCGGUGAAAUGCGCAGAUAUCAGGAGGAACACCGGUGGCGAAGGCGGGUCUCUGGGCAGUAACUGACGCUGAGGAGGGAAAGCAUGGGUAGCGAACAGGAUUAGAUACCCUGGUAGUCCAUGCCGUAAACGGUGGGCGCUAGGUGUAGGGGUCUUCCACGACUUCUGUGCCGUAGCUAACGCAUUAAGCGCCCCGCCUGGGGAGUACGGCCGCAAGGCUAAAACUCAAAGGAAUUGACGGGG
rnacentral:rRNA from 1 species